rnacentral:rRNA from 1 species
UACGUAGGGUGCGAGCGUUAAUCGGAAUUACUGGGCGUAAAGCGUGCGCAGGCGGUUCGCCGUGUCCUGUGUGAAAUCCCCGGGCUUAACCUGGGAACUGCGCUUGUUACUGGCAGACUUGAGUGUGGCAGAGGGGGGUGGAAUUCCAGGUGUAGCAGUGAAAUGCGUAGAGAUCUGGAGGAACACCGAUGGCGAAGGCAGCCCCCUGGGUUAACACUGACGCUCAUGCACGAAAGCGUGGGGAGCAAACAGG